UACGAAGGGGGCUAGCGUUGCUCGGAAUCACUGGGCGUAAAGGGUGCGUAGGCGGGUCUUUAAGUCAGGGGUGAAAUCCUGGAGCUCAACUCCAGAACUGCCUUUGAUACUGAAGAUCUUGAGUUCGGGAGAGGUGAGUGGAACUGCGAGUGUAGAGGUGAAAUUCGUAGAUAUUCGCAAGAACGCCAGUGGCGAAGGCGGCUCACUGGCCCGAUACUGACGCUGAGGUGCGAAAGCGUGGGGAGCAAACAGG
rnacentral:rRNA from 1 species